GACGGACGCUGGCGGCGUGCUUAACACAUGCAAGUCGAACGAAGAGCGAUGGAAGCUUGCUUCUCUCAAUCUUAGUGGCGAACGGGUGAGUAACGCGUAAUCAACCUGCCCUUCAGAGGGGGACAACAGUUGGAAACGACUGCUAAUACCGCAUACGAUCUAAUCUCGGCAUCGAGGAUAGAUGAAAGGUGGCCUCUACAUGUAAGCUAUCACUGAAGGAGGGGAUUGCGUCUGAUUAGCUAGUUGGAGGGGUAACGGCCCACCAAGGCGAUGAUCAGUAGCCGGUCUGAGAGGAUGAACGGCCACAUUGGGACUGAGACACGGCCCAGACUCCUACGGGAGGCAGCAGUGGGGAAUCUUCCGCAAUGGACGAAAGUCUGACGGAGCAACGCCGCGUGAGUGAUGACGGCCUUCGGGUUGUAAAGCUCUGUUAAUCGGGACGAAAGGCCUUCUUGCGAAUAGUGAGAAGGAUUGACGGUACCGGAAUAGAAAGCCACGGCUAACUACGUG
rnacentral:rRNA from 1 species